GAUCCUGGCUCAGAACGAACGCUGGCGGCGCGUCUUAAGCAUGCAAGUCGGGCGGGACCCAUAUGCUUGCAUAUGGUGAGAGCGGCGGACUGGCGAGUAACACGUGGGCGACGCGCCCUCCGGACGGGAAUAGCCUGUAGAAAUACAGGGUAAUGCCGGAUGCGAACGCACGGGCUGGAGCCGUGCGUGGAAAGCCCCCACGGGGGCGCCGGAGGAGCGGCCCGCGGCCCAUCAGCUUGUAGG
rnacentral:rRNA from 1 species